rnacentral:rRNA from 1 species
UACGGAAGGCAGCAGUGGGGAAUAUUGCACAAUGGGCGAAAGCCUGAUGCAGCGACGCCGCGUGAGGGAUGACGGCCUUUCGGGGUUGUAAACCUCUUUCUAGUAGGGAAGAAGCGAAAGUGACGGUACCUGCAGAAGAAGCACCGGCUAACUACGUGCCAGCAGCCGCGGUAAUACGUAGGGUGCGAGCGUUAUCCGGAAUUAUUGGGCGUAAAGAGCUCGUAGGCGGUUUGUCGCGUCUGUCGUGAAAGUCCGGGGCUUAACCCCGGAUCUGCGUUGGUACGGGCAGCUAGAGUGCAGUAGGGGAGACUGGAAUUCCUGGUGUAGCGGUGGAAUGCGCAGGAUAUCAGGAGGAACACCGGAUGGCGAAGGCAGGUCUCUGGGCUGUACUGACGCUGAGGAGCGAAGCAUGGGGAGCGAACAGGAUUAGAUA